CAUGCAAGUCGAGCGAGAACCGGGGCUUCUCGCCCCGGGGACAGCGGCUAAGGGGUGAGUAACACGUGGGUAUAUCUGCCCUUGACAUCGGGUAUAGUCCCGGGGAAACCCGGAUUAAUACCGAAUAGCCUCCGGAGCCUUCGGGCGCCGGACAUAAAGGUAGCUUCCCGCCUCUGGAUCAAGGAUGAGCCCGCGGCGGAUUAGCUUGUUGGCGGGGUAACGGCCCACCAAGGUGACGAUCCGUAGCUGGUCUGAGAGGACGAUCAGCCACACUGGGACUGAGACACGGCCCAGACUCCUACGGGAGGCAGCAGUGGGGAAUCUUGCGCAAAUGCGGGAAACCGUGACACACCGACCCCGCGUGGGGGAAGAAGGCAUUCGGGUUGUAAACCUCUUUCAUGAGGGACCAACCUACUCUGGUGAAUAGCCCAGAGGGUGACGGUACCUUCAGAAGAAGCCCCGGCUAAAUAUGUGCCAGCAACCGCGGUGAUACGUAGGGUGCAAGCGUUGUCCGGAUUUAUUGGGCGUAAAGAGCGUGUAGGCGGCUUGGUAGGUCUGCUGUGAAAACUCGAGGAUCAACCUCGAGCUGUCGGCGGAAACCACUUGGCUAGAGUCCGGAAGAGGAGAAUGGAAUUCCUGGUGUAGCGGUGAAAUGCGCAGAUAUCUGGAAGAACACCUAUGGCGAAGGCAGCUCUUUGGGACGGUACUGACGCUGAGACGCGAAAGCGUGGGGAGCGAACACGAUUAGAUACCCCGGUAGUCCACGCUGUAAACGAUGGGUGCUAGGUGUGGGCGGCGUUGACUCCGUCCGUGCCGCAGCUAACGCAUUAAGCACCCCGCCUGGG
rnacentral:rRNA from 1 species